UACGUAGGGGGCAAGCGUUAUCCGGAUUUAUUGGGCGUAAAGAGCGUGUAGGCGGCCAGGUAGGUCUGCUGUGAAAACUCGAGGCUCAACCUCGAGAUGUCGGCGGAAACCAUCUGGCUAGAGUCCGGAAGAGGAGAAUGGAAUUCCCGGUGUAGCGGUGAAAUGCGCAGAUAUCGGGAAGAACACCCGUGGCGAAGGCGGUUCUCUGGGACGGUACUGACGCUGAGACGCGAAAGCGUGGGGAGCGAACAGG
rnacentral:rRNA from 1 species